rnacentral:tRNA from 1 species
GUGAGCAUAGUUUAAAUAAAACGUCAGAUUGUGAUUCUAAAGACAGAGGUUAAAGCCCUC